AGCAGCCGCGGUAAUUCCAGCUCCAAUAGCGUAUAUUAAAGUUGUUGCAGUUAAAAAGCUCGUAGUUGAAUUUCGGGAUUAGUACGUUGGUCGUGCCUUCGGUACGUACUGGUGUUACUGAUUCCUACCUUCUGACGAACCAUCAUGUCAUUAAUUUGGUGUGGCGGGGAAUCAGGACUGUUACUUUGAAAAAAUUAGAGUGUUUAAAGCAGGCUCACGCUUGAAUACAUUAGCAUGGAAUAAUGAAAUAGGACGUUUGAUUCUAUUUUGUUGGUUUCUAGGAUCGACGUAAUGAUUAAUAGGGAUAGUUGGGGGCAUUAGUAUUCAAUUGUCAGAGGUGAAAUUCUUGGAUUUAUUGAAGACUAACUACUGCGAAAGCAUUUGCCAAGGAUGUUUUCAUUAAUCAAGAACGAAAGUUAGGGGAUCGAAGACGAUCAGAUACCGUCGCAGUCUUAACCAUAAACUAUGCCGACUAGGGAUCGGAUGAUGUUAAUUUUUUAAUGACUCA
rnacentral:rRNA from 1 species